AGGACGAACGCUGGCGGCGUGCCUAACACAUGCAAGUCGAGCGAGGCCCUUCCUUCGGGAAGGUGCCCUAGCGGCGAACGGGUGAGUAACACGUGGGCAACCUGCCCCUAGCACUGGGAUAACUCCGGGAAACCGGGGCUAAUACCGGAUAUGACCAUCGAGGGCAUCCUCGUUGGUGUAAAGGAUUCUGGCUAGGGAUGGGCCCGCGGCCUAUCAGCUUGUUGGUGGGGUAACGCCUACCAAGGCGACGACGGGUA
rnacentral:rRNA from 1 species